rnacentral:rRNA from 1 species
GUUAACCCUCGAAUCAUGUACGGGAUACACCGCUGAACUUUAAGCAUAUCAUAAGCCCGGAAAG